rnacentral:rRNA from 1 species
GGCGGCGUGCUUAACACAUGCAAGUCGAGCGGAAAGGCCCUUCGGGGUACUCGAGCGGCGAACGGGUGAGUAACACGUGAGCAACCUGCCCUAGGCUUUGGGAUAACCCUCGGAAACGGGGGCUAAUACCGAAUAUUCACUCACGGGCGCAUGUUUGUGGGUGGAAAGUUUUUCGGCUUGGGAUGGGCUCGCGGCCUAUCAGCUUGUUGGUGGGGUAAUGGCCUACCAAGGCGACGACGGGUAGCCGGCCUGAGAGGGCGACCGGCCACACUGGGACUGAGACACGGCCCAGACUCCUACGGGAGGCAGCAGUGGGGAAUAUUGCACAAUGGGCGGAAGCCUGAUGCAGCGACGCCGCGUGAGGGAUGACGGCCUUCGGGUUGUAAACCUCUUUCAGCAGGGACGAAGCGCAAGUGACGGUACCUGCAGAAGAAGCGCCGGCCAACUACGUGCCAGCAGCCGCGGUAAGACGUAGGGCGCGAGCGUUGUCCGGAUUUAUUGGGCGUAAAGAGCUCGUAGGCGGCUUGUCGCGUCGACUGUGAAAACCCGUGGCUCAACUGCGGGCCUGCAGUCGAUACGGGCAGGCUAGAGUUCGGUAGGGGAGACUGGAAUUCCUGGUGUAGCGGUGAAAUGCGCAGAUAUCAGGAGGAACACCGGUGGCGAAGGCGGGUCUCUGGGCCGAUACUGACGCUGAGGAGCGAAAGCGUGGGGAGCGAACAGGAUUAGAUACCCUGGUAGUCCACGCUGUAAACGUUGGGCGCUAGGUGUGGGGGGCCUCUCCGGUUCUCUGUGCCGCAGCUAACGCAUUAAGCGCCCCGCCUGGGGAGUACGGCCGC